UUGAUCCUGGCUCAGGACGAACGCUGGCGGCACGCUUAACACAUGCAAGUCGAACGAGAGAAGAGGAGCUUGCUUUUCUGAUCUAGUGGCGGACGGGUGAGUAACACGUGAGCAAUCUGCCUUUCAGAGGGGGAUACCGAUUGGAAACGAUCGUUAAUACCGCAUAACAUAAUUGAACCGCAUGAUUUGAUUAUCAAAGAUUUAUCGCUGAAAGAUGAGCUCGCGUCUGAUUAGCUAGUUGGUAAGGUAACGGCUUACCAAGGCGACGAUCAGUAGCCGGACUGAGAGGUUGAUCGGCCACAUUGGGACUGAGACACGGCCCAGACUCCUACGGGAGGCAGCAGUGGGGAAUAUUGCACAAUGGAGGAAACUCUGAUGCAGCGAUGCCGCGUGAGGGAAGAAGGUUUUAGGAUUGUAAACCUCUGUCUUCAGGGACGAAAAAAGACGGUACCUGAGGAGGAAGCUCCGGCUAACUACGUGCCAGCAGCCGCGGUAAUACGUAGGGAGCGAGCGUUGUCCGGAAUUACUGGGUGUAAAGGGAGCGUAGGCGGGAUCGCAAGUCAGAUGUGAAAACUAUGGGCUUAACCCAUAAACUGCAUUUGAAACUGUGGUUCUUGAGUGAAGUAGAGGUAAGCGGAAUUCCUAGUGUAGCGGUGAAAUGCGUAGAUAUUAGGAGGAACAUCAGUGGCGAAGGCGGCUUACUGGGCUUUAACUGACGCUGAGGCUCGAAAGCGUGGGGAGCAAACAGGAUUAGAUACCCUGGUAGUCCACGCCGUAAACGAUGAUUACUAGGUGUGGGGGGACUGACCCCUUCCGUGCCGCAGCAAACGCAAUAAGUAAUCCACCUGGGGAGUACGACCGCAAGGUUGAAACUCAAAGGAAUUGACGGGGGCCCGCACAAGCAGUGGAGUAUGUGGAUUAAUUCGAAGCAACGCGAAGAACCUUACCAGGUCUUGACAUCGUAUGCAUAGCUCAGAGAUGAGUGAAAUCUCUUCGGAGACAUAUAGACAGGUGGUGCAUGGUUGUCGUCAGCUCGUGUCGUGAGAUGUUGGGUUAAGUCCCGCAACGAGCGCAACCCUUACUGUUAGUUGCUACGCAAGAGCACUCUAGCAGGACUGCCGUUGACAAAACGGAGGAAGGUGGGGAUGACGUCAAAUCAUCAUGCCCCUUAUGACCUGGGCCUCACACGUACUACAAUGGCUGUUAACAGAGGGAUGCAAAGCCGCGAGGUGGAGCGAACCCCUAAAAGCAGUCUUAGUUCGGAUUGUAGGCUGCAACCCGCCUACAUGAAGUCGGAAUUGCUAGUAAUCGCAGAUCAGCAUGCUGCGGUGAAUACGUUCCCGG
rnacentral:rRNA from 1 species